rnacentral:tRNA from 1 species
GGCCCCGUGGCGGAACGGCAGACGCAGCGGACUUAAAAUCCGCUUUCCCGAAAAGGGAAGUCCGGGUUCAAGUCCCGGCGGGGCCA